rnacentral:lncRNA from 1 species
UCAAAACGGUUCUUCAUCUUCUUCUUCCUCGAUUGGCUCCCUUUGGACCCCACGUCCCUGCAUACCUUAGAAAGACUCAUUGAAUAACAGGAGGAAACACAUCGAUUUGAAGGUCUAUACGUUAAAAUUAUUCUGAAAAUUUCAACUGAUAUUUUAGAAAAGAGUUAAGCUAUCAUAACAAAUGCUACAAAUCUAAAUAUGGUUACAACACUUCAUUCUCUUUCUGGCACAAAUCUCCUUUUAAAAAAAAAAAUUCGCAACUUUAAACAACUUCAAGGUAUGUUAUGUGCAUCUGAUGAACAUAUUCCAAUCUCAGUAUUCUAGAAAACAUGGAAAACAACCGUCACAACUAUCUUGGUCCUCACCAUGGGUUGCGCUGGGGGAGAUCGAAGCUGAACUAACAGCGAUAUUGAAGGAGACAACGCCGAGAUUGGACAUGUCGGAAUACACAACCGAGUCUGUGAGAAACGUAUGUAGUAAUAAGAAACAGAGGAGGAGCAUGUCCACACUCAUAACUCAUAAGCUCUCCACCUUUCUUGACAUUCUUAGCCUCCCAGAAUCUCAACAGAGACCUCGGUGGUGUUUAAUCAUCCGCCAGCUUACAAACCGGCGAGCAUAACAUAUGAAGUCGACAUAGAUGGAGGUGAUGCGUGACAGAGUUUAAUCAUAUCAGACCGCGGAGAUGUUCAUCGCAUCUGAACGGACUAAUUUAUAGCUCGGGUUGUAGUGGUCACCUUCAACGAUAAUGAAGCUGAG